rnacentral:rRNA from 1 species
UACGGAGGAUCCGAGCGUUAUCCGGAUUUAUUGGGUUUAAAGGGUGCGUAGGUGGAUUGGUAAGUCAGUGGUGAAAGUUUGCAGCUUAACUGUAAAAUUGCCGUUGAAACUGACGGUCUUGAGUGCAAAUGAGGUAGGCGGAAUGCGUCGUGUAGCGGUGAAAUGCUUAGAUAUGACGCAGAACUCCGAUUGCGAAGGCAGCUUACUGGGAUGCAACUGACGCUGAGGCACGAAAGCGUGGGUAUCAAACAGGAUUAGAUA